rnacentral:rRNA from 1 species
CAACCUGCCGCUUACUCGGGGAUAGCCUUUCGAAAGAAAGAUUAAUACCCGAUGGUAUAAAGAGUUCGCAUGUUCUCUUUAUUAAAGAAUUUCGGUAAGCGAUGGGGAUGCGUUCCAUUAGAUUGUUGGCGGGGUAACGGCCCACCAAGUCUACGAUGGAUAGGGGUUCUGAGAGGAAGGUCCCCCACAUUGGAACUGAGACACGGUCCAAACUCCUACGGGAGGCAGCAGUGAGGAAUAUUGGUCAAUGGACGAGAGUCUGAACCAGCCAAGUAGCGUGAAGGAUGACUGCCCUAUGGGUUGUAAACUUCUUUUAUAAGGGAAUAAAGUGAGGGACGUUUCCCUUUUUGUAUGUACCUUAUGAAUAAGGAUCGGCUAACUCCGUGCCAGCAGCCGCGGUAAUACGGAGGAUCCAAGCGUUAUCCGGAUUUAUUGGGUUUAAAGGGAGCGUAGGUUGACAUAUAAGUCAGCUGUGAAAGUUUACGGCUCAACCGUGAAAUUGCAGUUGAUACUGUAUGUCUUGAGUGUACAAGAGGUGGGCGGAAUUCGUGGUGUAGCGGUGAAAUGCUUAGAUAUCACGAAGAACUCCGAUUG